rnacentral:rRNA from 1 species
AUUCUGGUGUCCUAGGCGUAGAGGAACCACACCAAUCCAUCCCGAACUUGGUGGUUAAACUCUACUGUGGUGACAAUACUGUAGGGGGGGCCCCGCGGAAAAAUAGCUCGACGCCAGAAUGAUAAAAAGCUUAACACCUC